rnacentral:rRNA from 1 species
AUUGAACGCUGGCGGCAGGCUUAACACAUGCAAGUCGAGCGGGGAAAGGUAGCUUGCUACCUGACCUAGCGGCGGACGGGUGAGUAAUGCUUAGGAAUCUGCCUAUUAGUGGGGGACAACAUCUCGAAAGGGAUGCUAAUACCGCAUACGUCCUACGGGAGAAAGCAGGGGACCUUCGGGCCUUGCGCUAAUAGAUGAGCCUAAGUCGGAUUAGCUAGUUGGUGGGGUAAAGGCCUACCAAGGCGACGAUCUGUAGCGGGUCUGAGAGGAUGAUCCGCCACACUGGGACUGAGACACGGCCCAGACUCCUACGGGGGGCAGCAGUGGGGAAUAUUGGACAAUGGGGGGAACCCUGAUCCAGCCAUGCCGCGUGUGUGAAGAAGGCCUUUUGGUUGUAAAGCACUUUAAGCGAGGAGGAGGCUACCGAGAUUAAUACUCUUGGAUAGUGGACGUUACUCGCAGAAUAAGCACCGGCUAACUCUGUG